AACGAACGCUGGCGGCGUGGAUUAGGUAUGCAAGUCGAACGUGAAAGGGGCUUCGGCCCUGAGUAAAGUGGCAAACGGGUGAGUAACGCGUGGAGAACCGUGCCCGGAAGCGGGGGAUAACACUUCUAACGAGGUGCUAAUACCGCAUGUAGUCUGCGUGAGCGCAUGCUCGCGCAGGUAAACGUGGCCUCUGCUCGCAAGCUACGGCUUCCGGAUGGCUCUGCGUCUCAUUAGCUAGUUGGUGGGGUAACGGCUCACCAAGGCGACGAUGGGUAGCUGGUCUGAGGAGGAUGGGUCAGCCACACUGGGACUGAGAUACGGCCCAGACUCCUACGGGAGCAGC
rnacentral:rRNA from 1 species